UGAGAAGGAAUGAAGACUAUGGACAGU
rnacentral:piRNA from 1 species